AGCGGCCUUCGGAAACUUCCAUCAUUCAAGUAGUUGUGGGGGGGAUUUGAAGACACGGUGGGAACUUUUAGUACCCUAAAAGUACCCGAGUAGUUAAAUUUAGUCACUUAUUAAAGCUUAAUCGCUGAGGGCUUCUGAGUAGCGAGUCCCAAUUAGGAGUUCCUUUACUUCAAAAACUUUUUCUCUCUUUCUUCCACCCUGACUCUGAGAAGGUGGUAGAGCCCACUUCCGUAUUUCGCUCUCCGGGAAAUCUCGCGAUGGAGGGAGGAGGAGGUGCACCCUUGGAAGUGCUCCGAGAAGAAAGGCCGUGUGGACAUGGUGUCCCUCCGAGUCCCGAAGCCAGUAGUGUGAAGGGAAGCACUUGGGGGCUGUUCUUCACUGGUGUUGUUGGCGGGGCUCUCUUGGCCGUGUAUGCUGUAGCGACACCAUUUAUCACACCAGCCUUCCGGAAGAUUUGCCUGCCUUUUGUACCUGCAACUGCAAAGCAGACUGAAAAUGUGGUGAAAAUGCUGCGACACAGACGAGGGCCCCUGGUGGACAUUGGCAGUGGUGAUGGACGCAUUGUGAUAGCAGCUGCAAAGGAAGGAUUCACAGCAGUUGGUUAUGAAUUAAAUCCAUGGCUGGUUUGGUAUUCCAGGUACAAAGCUUGGAGAGAAGGUGUGCACGGCUCAGCCACAUUUUAUAUUUCAGACUUGUGGAAGGUUACCUUUUCGCAGUACUCGAAUGUGGUUGUCUUUGGUGUGCCCCAGAUGAUGCCACAGCUGGAGAAGAAACUUGAACUUGAACUUGAGGAGGAUGCGAGAGUCAUUGCCUGCCGGUUCCCUUUCCCGCACUGGACCCCAGAUCACAUCGCUGGAGAUGGAGUGGACACUGUGUGGGCUUAUGACGUGGGCACUUUUAGGGGAAGGGAGAAGAGGCCCUAAAAGGCCAGCAUCUUCAGUGGACCAUUCCAGUGGAGACUGUGGAGCCUGCACCUCUGAAAUGCUGGUGGUCGUCUUCCAUUAGAGACUUAGUCAUGUUAGCAACGGCUUGUUGUCCUGUGGGACUGAAAAAAAUUACUGUUUCUUUCCAAACAGAAGUUAAGAAAACCAGGCAGGUUUAAAAUCCACUUUUAAUGGAAUAUUCUAAAAAAAGUGCAUACUGCCUCAUCGUGCACGAGGACAUGUGAAAAUAUGAGGAAGUCACGGUCAGAUUCAGGGGCUUUGAAGAUACUCAGCAACUUUUUACAUCGUAAACAAUAUGGCCUAACGCCAUGGAUGAGAAGACACGGAUUUUAGAGUGUGUGGAUUAGCAAAUGUUUGCAUUUUCCUACAGUUUUAUUCUUUUUUAAGAUUUAUCUCUUUUCUGUACUUUAUGGAAAAAUUAAUUUUCUGGAGAACUUGGCAAGGCAUUUAGAUUUAUGGCAUUUAUUAGGCAUCAUUUGCUCCAAGACUAGCAGUUGCUGCAUGUUCUUGAGUCUAACGUGUAUAUCCGCAUGUGUAUGUGUGUGUGUGCAAAUGGUGCAUAUAGAUGUGUAUUUUAACAUUUCUGGAAUUGUGACAUAUCUUACACAUGAAGGCGUUUGUAGCUUUAAAUACAAGAGACUUGAUGAAAUACAGCACUCAGACAGGAUUCAUGAUACAAUGGAAAACUAGUAAUGACUGAGGAGUAAAAUGAGCAGAGCGUGGAAGCACAGGCUUGUAAUCUCACUUGGGAGGCUGAAGCAGGAGGAUCCCAAGUUUGAAGCCUGCCUGGCAUCUUGGGGGGGUAGGGGUGUAGCUCAGUGGUAAAGUGCUUGUCUAGGUCCUGGGUUCAACUCUUACUACCGCCAAAAAAAAGAUAUAAUAAACAACUGUGAGCGCUGACUUGAGCCCAUGUGGGUACAGAUCCCUGCUCUGUCAUCAGCAGGAGUCUUGGAUGAUGGCUUCUCUCCCCCAGCCUUGGUUUCCUGAGCGUCCCACUAGCUGGAUUAAUGACACCCAGCACAUGGUCUUUGGUGUGUAAUGGUAUUUAUUAUUUUAGACACUAAGGAAAGCUUGUCCAUGGAAGUUGGGAGCUGCAGUUUACUUCUAGUUGCCUCUUCAUUUUAUGAGCAAGCAUUUAACAUUUCUCAUUUAUGAGAAGAGACUUGACUGAUUCAGAUAAAAGACAAGGAGAGCCUCUAGCUAUGAGGAGACAAGCUUCACAUACCUGAAAGAUGAACACUGAGUGGUGGCUCAGACAAUCUCAGAAAAGAAUGAAACUCUCUCAUAAACCCGUCACCUAAAUUUGUCUUCAUGGAAUGAGUACAAAUGAAUGUUCGCACCUUGAACUAAACGGUUUGCGGAGUCCGUGCGAGGGAGCACCGCCUGGGGCCCGUCAGUCACUCGCCACCCCUCGGUGUGCCGCGUGUCCCCUCUGCAGUCCGCUCUGCCCUCCCACAGUGAAGGGGCUCCCUGCACCGUGGCCUCAUGGAGUUCCUGUUCUAGAAGGGGAGACAAAUAAAUAAGCAAGUUUCUAUGUGUGAACUCUCCGAAAGAAGUUGCAGUUACACGGAGAGCAACUGCACAUGUCUUGGCUGAGGGAUGGGUUGUUUUGGAUGUUUGUCAUGUGGUUGGCUCCUACCGUCCACCCCUUUUCUCCAAACCCCAAUACCCUCUGGAGAGUGAAUUCUCUUCAGCUCUUAGUGUCUAUCUCUCCUUGCCACCUUGCACUCUAACCAGGCCUGUAGUUUUUCUGGGUGCACUUGGAAAAGGACCCAUAGUUGCUUCUGGAAUAUGGAUGUGGCUGACAGAGGCAGGGUUUGUGGAACAUCGGAGAUAUUCAGGUUUUCCAGAAGUUUCUCUGGUGGAUUUGCAGAGCCCUCAGUUUUGUGCAUUCAAUAAUAACUUUCUUUUGAGUCUCUCCUUUAGCUCCCAGAGAAUUAGAUGUUGCUUGGUUCUACAACUUCAGAGUAAAAUUGUAGAGAUGUUGUGAUUCACAGAGUCUGUAGGAUCUGGAAUUGCUUUGUAAAAUUGUGGCUGAUAAAGUAAACUGCAGUAAGGAUUUUCCCUCUCACAGCUGCUGCUGCUGCUUCUCUCUCCUACUCUUCCUCUUCCUUUUCUCCUCCUCCUCCUCUUUAUCAAUUAUAUGGUUAAGGACACCAGUCAAAUUUGCUUAUGAUACAAGGUGGGGAGUGAGAGCUACUGUGUCUGGUGCCAAAGUUGGAAUCAUAAAUAUCCAUACAGAUUGAAAUCAGAGGCCAGUUAUUUACCAAGUAUGAAGUUAAACUUGAUAAAAUUUAAAGAAGGAUCAAUAGGGGACUGGUGAUAUAGCUCAGUAGUAAAGUGCUCAGAGGAAGGAAGCAAGGAGAGGAGCUAGUUUAGGGUCUAUUUUUGCCAUGCAGGAACCUGGAUGGACAGAUCCUAAGGUUUCCAUUGACAUUUGAGCCAAUGAUUUAAGAGUGCUCCCCUCCAAAUGCAUUUUUCUCUGAAGCACAGUGCCCAGGAUGUGACCCCAGGUGUGCCAGCUGAGCCUCAGACCCUUGGCAGUUUGGGCUUUCAGACUCCCUCAAAUGUUUCGUGGUACCCAGUGCACAUGAAACCAGUUCUCAAGAUUUAGAAAGGAGGCUGUCUUCCAGAUACACCGCGUUUCUUCACCAUCUCUGGGAGACGGUGUACACUAUGGCAAGUUGUAGUCAAACAAUAAGAAGCAGUGCAAGAUCCUUGACAUUGAAAUCACCUGGCUGCAUGCCCUCCCUCUGCCAAAGGACCUUCCCUGGUGCCGAGGCCGUGAAACACUUGGCUGUGGAGAAAGAUGUUCUGAGGUCCAGGAGUCUGGUAGCCUGGAUGUGACAGGUGUUCUCAGCUUAGCGUUGGCUGCUUUAGCCCUGGCUGAUACACCGUGGGAAAGGUCUCUUGGUCACGGCGGAGCACAGACAGGAGUCUGCUGAGAUCUCAGCAAACAGGAAACACACUCCUUGGCUGUGAUAUAUCUUGUCACCCUCGUAGCCAUACCUGACCUCGUGUGCCAGCACUUUACUAAGAGGUCCGGAGUCAUCUGGGCCACAGCGUGUCCUCCCCCAGCAGGGCAGGCAGAGCCGCAGGCCUCUGACGCAGGCAGCCCGUCCCGGAGCAGGGCACGCUAGUGGGAAUGAACAAGGUGUGCAAACCUGCUUGCUUCCUACCUGAUGGCCGUUCUCCCUGGCUUGCUAGCAGAAUCCUGCUUUUCAGGUGUCUGGCAUUGAUGUCCUCAGGGAAGAUGGCCCAAGCACUUGUCUCCCUCUUUGCCACGGGUGCCAGGGUGGUUGGCUGGCUAGUGGGCACAUGAACGGCUGCUGCUGCUGCUGAGAAGUGGGGGAAGUCUGUGCGGAGCUCAGGAAGGGCCUGAGAGACAGAUGCGUAAGGAGCAAGUGCCCUUCCUGGCUUUGGAUGUGCUCUGUACCAGAAGCUUUAGCAGCCCUUCUGUAGCCAUGAGGAAGUGUAGACAUGAAAGCUGAGAUGUGCAGCAGACAGGAAGAUGCAGUGCUGAUCCUAAUGAUGGUGCUGAGCUGCUGAGCCAACCCGGAAGCCCCCCGCUCCGGGACACCUAAAACAAAGAAUGGGACAAGGUCUGUCUACGGACUGUAUUACCCACGCCAUCCAGAAAAUUUUACAGACGCAAGGAGUUGAGGCAGUCUGGCUCGCGACAGAAAGCAGCAGAAAACAGAAUUCUCCUACCUGCUAGAAAAUGGGUGUAUGCAACAGUGCUGGUGUAGUUUAGAUGUGAAACGAUGCCAAGGCCUCACGUGGUUGGCAGGUAAUCGUGGGGCUUAUAUCUGAUCUGCUGAGAGGUGGGGCCGUGCUGCCCUGCCUUGGAGCCAGGUGACCGUGGACUGAGAUUUCUACAAACUGUGGACCAAAAUGAACCUGUCCUUUAGCUCCAGUCGUCGGGGAUUGCAUCCCAGUGGAGAGACAGUGACUACACAGUAUAUUCUAAGCAGGACGGAAUUAACCCCACCUCACAGGUCUUCUCCACAUAAAGGCAGUCUAAGACUGACAUUUCACCUGUGUUGGAAAUCUAAUACCUUUGGAAAUGCAUCCGUGUCGGUUUGCUGGAGCUGCUGUAAGGGGACGCUGCAGACCGGAUGCUCAAACAACAGGACUGUGUUUCUCUACUGUGCUGGGGGCUGGAAAUUGGAGAGCAGGGCUGCAGCAGGGCUGGUCUCCCGAGGCCUAGCUCCUUGGCUUGCAGUUGGCUGCCCCUUUGCCAUGUCCUCACAUGGCCUUCUGUGUGCCGCUUCCCAGUGUCCCAAUGCUGCUUUUAAUAAGGACACAGUCGGAUCUCAUUAGGGCUCACACCAAGCACCCAUGUGAACUCAUUCACCUACUUAAAGGCCCUGCCCCCAGCACAGUCACACCCUAAGGUUUGGACACCUGAAUUUGGGGAGGACACAAUUCCGCCUGUAACAACCAUUGCACAGCCACCUUUAUAGUGAAUUUGGACCCGGCCUGUGGGUGCGUUAGCGGGAGAGGAGCUGUGCACCUUCUGCUCCAUCCACACUGUGGCUGGGCCGGCUGUGAGAGAGACUGUGCAGGGCACAGGAGCCAAGUGCUGUGACUUUCACAAAGCCGAAACAGGCAGGCCUCUGCAGUGGUGCGGGGGAGCAUCACCGGCCCGCAGAAGGAGGAGUGUCAGUGGGAGACUGCCUGAAAUGGUCACAGCUUGGAAAUGAGAGCAGGAACAGAAGCAAUUCUUGUACGUGGGCCGAGCCCUUGGACAGUCCAGUACGCACUCAGCUCAGCAGUGCUGAGACACCUCAGCAGGAGAGUUUCAAAAAUGGCACGGGUUCUGAGGAGCACUGGAGAACUUACACGCACCGUGUGGCAAGCCCAGGACGGGGCCAGGCAGGGUGCCUCUGGAGGAGGAGCAGCCACUCCUUUUGCAGCUUCUUAAAACAGCAGAAAGGGCUCCACAGCAAGAGCCACUUCCUCGCAUGCUGAAGGUUCCACUUCUACUGUCAGGAUUCAGAGCUAUGCUCCCCUUGUCUAGGGAAACUGGAUGAAUCACUGUGGCUUCUGUGUGAUUCUGACAUCAUUCCUCUGUGCAGCAGCACUGUGGGAGCUGCUUGGUGUCAUAGCAACAGGUUGCAGCAGAACAGGCUGCCAGUCAAGGGCAAGAGCCAAGGCGCUGCACUGUGUGACAGUUACUUUCAUUUAUGUAAAAAAGGUCAUUUCUUUGCUCACCCUUGCACACUUACCUAUGCGCACACACAUACACAAGCUUGCAUAUCCUACCACAAAUACUCUAUCAAUAUACAAUACAUCCAUAAUGCCUUUUAUCUCUGGGGAGCUUGGGUAGGAGGUAGAACCAGAAGUGAGAAGAUUUCUCCUUCAUUGUAUAUCUUAAAAUAUUUUUUUGUGUUUACUAUGUAUACUUGUGACUUCCUGAUUAAAAAAAAUGAAUGUUUUAACCAUCUGUCCAUUCAAAUGAAAGAUUAGCUUUGAUUCGUGUGUGAGAUGCAAUGUUUAAAAGCCCACGUGUGAGAGAUAAACAUUCAGCAAUGAUGUGAGGCUGGUAUUGCAGGGCUGCUGUGGACGCUGGUCCCUGGGACUCUGCACUCGGGUCGGGGGGGCCCCCACAGGGCGAAGCCCUCAGCACACGGCCGAGCACGUACGAGGACAGAGGACUGAAUGCAAGGACUUGUCUUGAGGAAUUAUGGGCUAAUCUCUGAGUCAUUCUCCUCCUUUGUGCUGUUACAUCUUUCUAAUAAAACAGAAAGAGAGAAACACAUUUUGGGAGAUUUAAAGUCAGCAGCUCAGAGAACCAAAAAGAUAGAAGCAGACAGAGGGAGGUGGGCAGGGAGAGGACGUGGCAUUCAAUAAAGAGCAGCAGCUUUGGCCGACACCUGUCCUUCCUGAUGACACCUUCUCCUCAGCCGUCCCUCAUUCCAGGCCAUGUCCCCGCUCCAGUCGCCCCUGACCCUGACCAUUUCCUUCAUUUGUCCUUGCCUUCUCUGAAAGGUCAGUGCUGAGUUUUAGGACUGGUUAUGUGCAACACUAAAUUUUGACAGCAGGAUAAAUGCUGGCACACUCUGUUAUGGUUAGGAUAACAGUGUCCCCCAGAGGCUCCUGGUGAUGAAGGUUUGGUUGCCAGCAGAUAGAUUGGAUUAUGAGAACUUCAACUUCAUAAAGUGGAUCAAUCCAUUCAUGACCGUAAUUUGAUGACCUUACGGGAGCUGAUGGAAACAGGAGGUUGGGCCUGAUUGAGGGGAGUGGAUCGGGUGGGGUUGGGGACCACAUCCAGUCCCAGACCCUUUGCCUCAGGCUCAUUCCCACUCUGCAUCCUGUGGUCCUGAGGUGAGGCGCUUUCCUCCGCCACACCCUUCCGUCCUGACGUUUCUCUUCACCAUAGGCCUCAGGCAUUACAGUCAGAUAACCAUGGACUGAAACCUCCGAAACCGUA